GACGAACGCUGGCGGCGUGCUUAACACAUGCGAGUCGAACGGAAAGACCCUGCUUUUGUGGGGUGCUCGAGUGGCGAACGGGUGCGUAACACGUGAGUAACCUGCCCUUGACUUUGGGAUAACUUCAGGAAACUGGGGCUAAUACCGGAUAGGAGCUCCUGCUGCAUGGUGGGGGUUGGAAAGUUUCGGCGGUUGGGGAUGGACUCGCGGCUUAUCAGCUUGUUGGUGGGGUAGUGGCUUACCAAGGCUUUGACGGGUAGCCGGCCUGAGAGGGUGACCGGCCAGAUUGGGACUGAGAUACGGCCCAGACUCCUACGGGAGGCAGCAGUGGGGAAUAUUGCACAAUGGGCGGAAGCCUGAUGCAGCAACGCCGCGUGCGGGAUGACGGCCUUCGGGUUGUAAACCGCUUUCGCCUGUGACGAAGCGUGAGUGACGGUAAUGGGUAAAGAAGCACCGGCUAACUACGUG
rnacentral:rRNA from 1 species